rnacentral:sRNA from 1 species
CUGAAGUACUUUAUUUUUUAAUUGUUCAGCCACGAGGAGGGGUGGAAGAAGGCCCUACAGUAUUGAGAAAGGCUGGUCUGCUUGAGAAACUUAAAGAACAAGAGUGUGAUGUGAAGGAUUAUGGGGACCUGCCCUUUGCUGACAUCCCUAAUGACAGUCCCUUUCAAAUUGUGAAGAAUCCAAGGUCUGUGGGAAAAGCAAGCGAGCAGCUGGCUGACAAGGUGGCAGAAGUCAAGCAGAAUGGAAGAAUCAGCCUGGUGCUGGGCGGAGACCACAGGUCUUGUUGAAUAACUGUGUCUAUGGGAAUCUGGCACAAAAGAAGUGUAACCAAGGCCAUAAGAAGAGAGAAAAUAUAGAAAUAUAGACAGAAAAGCAUUGACCUAUAUUUUAUAUCAAAUUUUCUGCCUUUAAA